rnacentral:rRNA from 1 species
CCGACGGUGAGGGAUGAAAGCUGGGGGAGCAAACCGGAUUAGAUACCCGGGUAGUCCCAGCUGUAAACGAUGCGCGUUAGGUGUGUCAGUGACCACGUGUCACUGAUGUGCCGAAGGGAAACCGUGAAACGCGCCGCCUGUGGAGUACGGUCGCAAGGCUGAAACUUAAAGGAAUUGGCGGGGAGCACCACAACGGGUGGAGCCUGCGGUUUAAUCGGACUCAACGCCGGAAAUCUCACCGGAUAAG